AUGGAUGUGUGACUGGCAUGCAGUGUUUUCUGAACAUGAUGAACACCAACAUAUGAAAAGCAGCAGGAGACCGCAGAUGUAGUGAACCCCAUGACACACCGUUGAGCAAGAUGUUCCAUAGAUGUUCAUCCUCCUGGUUCAUGUUAAAUGUCAUGCAGUAAUCAAAGCAAAGAGCUUC